UAUAAAGCGUUGAAGAAGAGAAGUAGUCGAUUGUCUGCCUUUAGAGAGAGAAAUCCGUGGCUGAAAGAUUUCUUGGUAAGGAUUGUCGAAGGUAGCUUCUGAGCAACUGAAUUGAGAAGGUAUGAAGGUAGAUUCAGUCGGGUGAUUCCGAUAAAAAUUAUUAAGUGCCGGCAGUAUAUGCCGGAAUUAAGGUGGUACCGCGAAAUAACUCUUUCGUCCUUAAC
rnacentral:ncRNA from 1 species